rnacentral:siRNA from 1 species
AUCCAUUGACGGUUGUGUCCGCCC